AACAAUACAGCAUGUUUCUCUGCUCCAAGACAUCCGCGGUCCUUUCACACGGUUCUCAGUCAUCCAGCUCAUGGUUGUCUAAGGAGCCUGGAAACACUUCAGCCACCUGGAAAUACCCAGCCUGCAGAAGGAGACGUCGUUCAGGUUGCAGGACUUGGUGGUUAUAGAGUAAAUGCCACCGGCCACACACUCCCUGAUGAACCACCUAAUCUUCAGUGUGCAGACGUGUGUUGCUGACUGUGAGCCUACCAGAUACUCUCAGUGUACUGCAUAUGUGCCAUAUAACAACAGGCUGUGUCUGGAAGAACAUCAAGUAGAUGCACGUGGGGGUGAUUCUGGUGGUGGAGUGAUUUACAACAACAUGAUUUAUGGUGUAAUCAGUUCUGGUUUUGAACGUGUCUGUA